AUUGAACGCUGGCGGAAUGCUUUACACAUGCAAGUCGAACGGUAGAGGGGGCAACCCCUCGAGAGUGGCGAACGGGUGAGUAAUAUAUCGGAACGUGCCCAGUCGUGGGGGAUAACGUAGCGGAAGUUACGCUAAUACCGCAUACGAUCUAAGGAUGAAAGCGGGGGAUCGCAAGACCUCGCGCGUUUGGAGCGGCCGAUAUCAGAUUAGGUAGUUGGUGGGGGAAAGGCUCACCAAGCCAACGAUCUGUAGCUGGUCUGAGAGGACGACCAGCCACACUGGAAGUGAGACACGGUCCAGACUCCUACGGGAGGCAGCAGUGGGAAAUUUUGGACAAUGGGCGCAAGUCUGAUCCAGCCAUUCCCCGUGCAGGAUGAAGGCCCUCGGGUUGUAAACUGCUUUUGUACGGAACGAAAAGGUCUCUCUUAAUACGGGGGGCUCACGACGGUACUGUAAGAAUAAGCACCGGCUAACUACGUGCCAGCCGCCGCGGUAA
rnacentral:rRNA from 1 species